rnacentral:rRNA from 1 species
UACGUAGGUGGCAAGCGUUGUUCGGAAUUAUUGGGCGUAAAGGGCGCGUAGGCGGUUUGUUAAGUCGGCUGUGAAAGCCCGGGGCUCAACCCCGGAGGGUCAGCCGAUACUGGCAGACUAGAGUACGGAAGAGGUAGCUGGAAUUCCCGGUGUAGCGGUGAAAUGCGUAGAGAUCCGGAGGAACACCGAAGGCGAAGGCAGUGUCCUGGCGAGUGACUGACGCUGAGGUGCGAAAGCCAGGGGAGCGAACGGG